AUUGGAUCAAACGCGGCGCUUUUUAAAUUAAAUUGCAGCAAUAUUUUGAUAGUGUGGAUUCCGGGGUACGAGCAAGUCCCGACAAUUUUCAACGCUGUUGGAGUAGGAAUGGUAGUCAUGCGAUUUGGCUAGGCCUCUUACUGGAGCACGAGGUCGGGUAACCGAUUAUGGUCUGAUCUUACAAACAUGUUAAAUAGUAUUGGUGGUGGUGUCAAUAAAAGUAUGGGCAGAUUUAAAAACAAAAAUCAAGUGUUGACCUUGCGACAACAUGCAAGAGUGACUGGAGGUAGAGCAGCAAGCCAGCAAACCUUUUCGGCUAUGAAAGAAAGAGUGUUAUCCAUAAUCGGAACUACAGCAGUGGAAGGACAAGACUAUACAAGAGCUUGGAUUUAGUUCGAAGUCGCACUCACUUGAUGAUCUGCGUAUUGUUAAACUCCUCUGGCUGGACGCAGGCGUGGAACAGCUGGUCUUCGACGCGGAUCCACUCCUCGGUGACGACGGGGAUGA